UGGUCGUGAGAGGAUGAUCAGCCACACUGGAACUGAGACACGGUCCAGACUCCUACGGGAGGCAGCAGUGGGAAGUAUUGCGCAAUGGCGAAAGCCUGACGCAGCCACGCCGCGUGAGCGAUGAAGGCCUUCGGGUCGUAAAGCUCUGUGGGGAGAGACGAAGAAGCCCGUGAAGAGCGGCCUUGACGGUAUCUCCUUAGCAAGCACCGGCUAACUCCGUGCCAGCAGCCGCGGUAAUACGGAGGGUGCAAACGUUGCUCGGAAUCAUUGGGCGUAAAGCGCACGUAGGCGGCGAAGCAAGUUGGGUGUGAAAGCCCUGGGCUCAACCCCAGGAAGUGCAUUCAAAACUGCUUCGCUUGAAUCUCGGAGGGGGUCAGAGAAUUCCCGGUGUAGAGGUGAAAUUCGUAGAUAUCGGGAGGAAUACCAGUGGCGAAGGCGCUGACCUGGACGAAGAUUGACGCUGAGGUGCGAAAGCGCGGG
rnacentral:rRNA from 1 species